GAUUAUAGAAAUAGAAAAAGUUAUAAGUAAAAAUGAUCUUCAUUAGUUAAUGAAAAAAAAAAUCAAAAAAUGAUUAUACUUAUUUAGUUCACAUUUCACUUUGUGCUUGAAUUAAAGAGUCAAACAUGCGUAAUCCCACAGUUCUCAAAGUCCUUCAUGGAUUUUAUUUCCAGAGGCUUUGUAACGUCCGGUGGUCCGAGUGGUUUCACAAAGAUUCUGGAGUUCAGAGUCCACGUACUGUGGAUCUGUUUCCUCGAUCGUAGGAGCCUCGCGUGCUUCGCCAGAUCAGCGUAAUAUUUACACAGAUGAUCGUUAAGAUAAACAGCAGAACCCUUCAGGUUUUUACGUUGUUUCAUCAGAGCUAUCUUGUGCUUUCGAUUCACAAACCUGAUCAGGAUCGCUGGUUUAUCCGUAUUCUUUCUCCGAGGAAGCGGAUGACAGACCUCAACAGUGUUUAGGUCCAAGGAAAUCCCUUUAGACGCAAGAAAGUCUCCGACUUGAUUCUCCACGGUCACGUUUGCUCCCAUAUCAGCUCCGUUA